AUUACAAAAUAGCUGUUUAGGCUCAUAUACAAUAACAUAGCAUUCGCACACCUACCAUCUGCAUGGCCAGAGGACUCUGACAACCCCAAUCUGAGCCAGAUCUUCAGAACCAAGUUGCAGGGCAAAAGUCAUCAUACAGCCAUUUUGUGUUGAGGGCGUAGGGAAAUUAAUUAUUCAGACAAGUAAAUUUUCUAACCAUUCAUAUUUAUUCCUCUUUACCUGAAGUGCAUGGUGUCGAGCUUGAAAAGCCCUGUUGUUGACCCCUGUUGAGUAUUGCUCAUCAUAUGAUGCAGAUCUGAAGCGCUCACUCUGAUUAGCAUGGUGGGGAAACCUAGCAUGGUUUCCAGUGCUUCCUCUCCACAAGGUAGAGGGCGCCGAGGUUAGACCAUGAAUAAAUGAUUAAAUAAUUGCUGUCUGUUUUGAGAGGCUGGUCAUGCCUGUCCUGUUCUCCCCUUGCUGGAGUUCUCUCUGCUUGGUUCAGGCGCUGGCUCAGUCAGGCAGGCUUUAGGCGUGUUCUGUAUUGGCUAAUCUUUCGUGGACAGAUUCACACGUGAACAGCGAGAAUCCGUCAAGACUCAUGUAGAAUUACAGUAUGUGAUUACGAGCAGCAGUAGUUCCUGGUUUGGGGUUUUCUUCAUUGAUUAUUUGGAUGAAUCCUGAUUAGGCGAUGGCGGUGCUUAAACUAGGGCGGUGAUUUCAAGCCCUGUGCGCAGUAGUUAGAGGGGAAACACUAAAGACGGACCAUUCGUCCUACAUUUAUGUUUUCAUGAAAUGCCAUGUUUCACCUUAGCACCCCUUCCCCCCAAACAAUAAUAUGUAGUGCAGAUAUGUAUCAAUAUGAUAUGUCACUUUUUUAUUUGACGUUGGGAAAUCGGAGAUAACAUCGAUGCUGCUGUGCCAGUGAACAGCUCUGGAACACUGAGCCAUUGACUGCACCAGGUGACUGUAUAAUGAGUGGGUUGCUUUUUGACAAUAAGACACCGGACUGUCUACAUCCAUAACGUUUUGAACCUAGAAGAAGACUGAGAGACAGGAGUAGGCAAGAAGGAGUCGAAGGGAUUGGCAAGAAGAAUGUUGAGUUGUCCUGAAAAGCAUGGUUUGUCAUCUGAUUUCUUUGAGCCUGGUGGAGAUAGAUGCCACCAUUCUACAAGGCAGGCCAUUUAUCUGCAUCCAGGUUGAGGUUCGCUACCAGCAGGAACAUGGAACACUCUUGUCAGUACCAUAGAGACAGAAUGGUCCAAGGACCUCCAGAGCCUACUGACCAACUACCUGAGAUCUCUCCAAAGCACAUAGAAGUGACUCUUCUGGGCUGUGAAACUCUAGAGCAGCGCAUCAACAAACCUGCCACCCUGUUGUCAGCUGUCCACAAACAGUUCCCUGAGGAAGGAUGCAACUAAGUAACUAACCAUUUUAAUGGCCUAAUUUUGGGGAUGACCAAAUGCAAUAAAGUUUUUUGUAUAAACAA